rnacentral:lncRNA from 1 species
AGGCUGGUAAAAGAGUUAUAGAUGAUCCUACACAUCUUGCUGAUUUGGGAGCUGCACUGACCAGUAGAGAAUCACAUCAAAUUCAAGCAGUUCUUGAAUGUCCAGACAUUCCUGAGUGAUUGAUAUUAACACUUGAACUACUCAAGAAAGAACUAGCCAUUGUAACGCUACAAAAAAACUUGGAAAAGAAGUUGAGGAGAAGUUUACUAAAAUGCAGAGAAAGUAUAAUUUUAUUAUAAGAGGAACUGAAAAUAAUAAAGAGAAAACUAGGAAUAGAAGUAAUGGAGUAUGAGAGAGAGGGAGGAACUGGAAGGAUAUGAAUAAGUUGAUAAAGUUUGUAGAAAGAUGAUAAGGAUGCCAUAUUAGACAAGAUUCCUGAAAAGAUGUCGUACUGAAGGAAAUUGAGACUGUAUUAAUUUUGAAGAAGAAUUGAACGAACUGUCCUUUCUUGACAGCCACUCAUCAGAAUUUACAUUGUAACAAUUAAGGAACUAUCUUGAUUGGUUGAUGAGUAUACCCUGGACUCCCUCUCCCAGUGUAACAAUUAAGGAACUAUCUUGAUUGGUUGAUGAGUAUACCCUGGAGUAAGACCAGUAAAGAGGACUUCCAUUUAGAGAGGGCUAAGGUUAUACUUGAUGAGGAUCAUUAUGGACUCAAUGACAUUAAGGACAGGAUACUGGAGUUUAUAGGAGUCUCAAGAUUGAAAGGAUCAGUUCAGGGAAAGAUACUCUGCUUUGUAGGACCACCUGGUGUUGGUAUAGCUCGUUCAGUUGCCCGGGCAUUAAAUAGAGAAGGAAGACCACACAAUAAACUAAUACAACAAUCACUGACUGACUCUCUCUCUCUUCGUGUGUGUGUGUGUGUGUUUUAGUACUUUAGGUUCAGUAUAGGAGGUAUGACUGAUGUGGCUGAGAUAAAGGGACACAGGAGAAAAUAUGUUGGUCCAAUGCCUGGUAAAGUGAUACAGAGUUUGAAGAAAGUACAGACCAAGAAUCCUAAAUCCACUCAUACUGAUUGAUGAGGUUGAUAUUAGGGACGCGGGUACCAGGGUGAUCCAGCCAGUGCUUUGUUAGAGUUGUUGGAUCCAGAGCAGAAUUCUUUCUUUUUGGAUCAUUAUCUUGAUGUUCCUGUGGAUCUCUCACGUGUUCUGUUCAUUAGUACAGCCAAUACAACUGACACUAUACCAGGACCACUCAUUGACAGAAUGAAAUAAUACAAGUCUCUGGUUAUAUAUCAGAAGAGAAGGAAAGCAUUGCUCAGAAUUACCUGAUACCUCAAGCUCAUUCUUCCUCUGGUUUGGAGGAGGGGCAGGUCCUUAUAGAAACUGAUGCUCUCCAGUCCCUCAUCAAGUGGUACUGCAGGGAGAGUGGAGUGAGGAAUCUACAGAAACACAUUGAGAAGAUAUUACAUAAAGCUGCUUUUAAAGUCUUAUCACAGAUACAGACUAAUGAUGAUGAAGCUGAAGAAGAUGAAAAGAAAGAAGAAACAAAAGAAGAGAAACCUUCUCCCCCUCCUGUUCCUCCUGUCACUGUCUCUUCCUCCAAUUUAAAAGAUUUUGUCGGUCAUCCUCCGUUUAUUUCCGAUCGCCUCUACGAGACUACACCCCCUGGAGUGGUUAUGGGUCUGGCUUGCACGUCAAUGGGAGGCACUACUUUUUAUGUGGAGACAGGCAUGGCUGAGGGGCAGGGCCUCUCAAAGGAGGGAAGAGGAGAGGGGGGUAUGACUACCACUGGACAGUUAGGAGAUGUAAUGAAGGAGUCCACUGUUAUU